CCUACGGGUGGCAGCAGUGAGGAAUAUUGGUCAAUGGGCGCGAGCCUGAACUAGCCAAGUAGCGUGAAGGAUGACUGCCCUACGGUUUGUACACUUCUUUUAUAAAGGACUAAAGUGCGGCACGUGUGCCUUUUUGUAUGUACUUUAUGAAUAAGGAUCGGCUAACUCCGUUCCAGCAGCCGCGGUACUACGGAGGAUCCGAGCGUUAUCCGGAUUUAUUGGGUUUAAAGGGAGCGUAGCUGAUUUGUUAAGUCAGUUGUGAAAGUUUGCGGCUUAACCGUAAAAUUGCAAUUGAUACUGGCAGCGUAGAGUACAGUUGAGGUAGGCGGAAUGCGUGGUGUAGCGGUGAAAUGCUGAGAUAUCACGAAGAACUCCGAGUGCGAAGGCAGCCUACUAAACUGCCACUGACAUUGAUGCUCGAAAGUGUGGGUAGCAAACAGGAUUAGAUACCCUUGUAGUC
rnacentral:rRNA from 1 species